UGGGGAAUAUUGCGCAAUGGGGGAAACCCUGACGUAGCGACGCCGCGUGAGCGAAGAAGGCCUUAGGGUCGUAAAGCUCUGUUUUCAGGAAAGAAUGUCGUGGGGAGAAAUAUGCCCUGCGAAUGACGGUACCUGAAGAGGAAGCCCCGGCUAACUACGUGCCAGCAGCCGCGGUAAGACGUAGGGGGCGAGCGUUGUCCGGAAUUACUGGGCGUAAAGGGCACGUAGUCGGGAAUUUAAGUCAAGUGUGAAAGACCGAGGCUCAACCUCGGGAUUGCAAGUGAAACUGGAGUGCUUGAGGGCAGGAGAGGAAAGCAGAAUUCCUGGUGUAGCGGUGAAAUGCGUAGAAAUCAGGAGGAAUACCAGUGGCGAAGGCGGCUUUCUGGACUGACCCUGACGCUGAGGUGCGAAAGCGUGGGUAGCAAACA
rnacentral:rRNA from 1 species